rnacentral:rRNA from 1 species
UCCGCCAGNAAAUUACGGGCAAAAGCCUAAAACUCAAAAGACUUGACGGUGCCCCAUCUACCUAGAGGAGCCUGUUUCAUAAUCGACAACCCACGAUAUACCAAACCACUUUUUGAACUUCUCAGCCUAUAUACCGCCGUCACCAGCUUACCUUUUAAAAGAGUUAAAAUAAGCUAAAUAAUAUUAUGUUAACAAGUCAGGUCAAGGUGUAGCACAUAAAGUGGAGAAAAUGGGCUACAUUAUUUAUAUUAAAUAAUACGAAAUAAACCUCUGAAAAAGAAUAUGAAGGCGGAUUUAGCAGUAAUUNAAACAAGAAUAUUNAAAUUAAUAACAGCUCUGGGACAUGUACAC